rnacentral:rRNA from 1 species
UAAAGCUAAGAAAAGCAGAGCUCCCGUCUCGUACCUUUUUGCAUCAUGAUUUAACAAGUACACCCAAGCAAAAAGCAUUUUAGUUUGGCCCCCCGAAACCAAGUGAGCUACUCCGAGACAACCUAUAAUUUAGGGUAAACCCGUCUCUGUGGCAAAAGAGUGGGAAGAGCUCCGAGUAGAGGUGACAGACCUAUCCGAACUUGGCAAUAGCUGGUUGCUUGAGAAAUGAAUAGAAGUUCUGCCUCUUACAUUCUCACUUCAAGACCGGAGCAACAACAGCCCGACCCACAGAUGAAUAGAAGGCAAGAGAGUUAAUCAAAGGGGGUACAGCUCCUUUGAGACAAAACACAACUUUCCCAGAAGGGUAAAGAUCAUAAUUUUUAAGGCAACUAUGUCUUGGUGGGCCUAAAAGCAGCCACCCCAUUAGAAAGCGUUAAAGCUCUGACAUACUCCUGCCCUCGAUCCCGAUAACAAAUCUUAACCCCCUAAAUGUAUCAAGCCGUCCCAUAAACACAUGGGAGUGAUUAUGCUAAAAUGAGUAACCAGAGAGCACCACCUCUCUCCCUGCACACGUGUAAAUCGGAACGGACCCCCCACCGAAAUUUAACGGCCCCAAAUAACAGAGGGCACUGGAGGAUAGACAAUCAACAAGAAAAUCUUCCAAGACAAUACCGUUAACCCCACACUGGUGUUCUACAAGGGAAAGACCAAAAGGAAAAGAAGGAAUUCGGCAAAUUAUCCCUAAGCCUCGCCUGUUUACCAAAAACAUCGCCUCUUGUUAACCACACAUAAGAGGUCCUGCCUGCCCAGUGACCACUGGUUCAACGGCCGCGGUAUUUUAACCGCGCAAAGGUAGCGCAAUCACUUGUCUCUUAAAUGAGGACCUGUAUGAAUGGCAAGACGAGGGCUUAACUGUCUCCUUUCCCCGGUCAGUGAAAUUGAUCUUCCCGUGCAGAAGCGGGAAUCCUUACAUAAGACGAGAAGACCCUAUGGAGCUUUAGACGCUAGAACAGAUCAUAUGAAUUACUCCCAUAAAAUAAGUAACAACUAGUGAAUUCUAUUCCCCUGUCUUCGGUUGGGGCGACCAUGGGGAAAAAAAACCCCCCACGUGGACCAGGAGCUGAAAUACUCCCACAACCAUGAGCCACACCUCUAAUGCACAAAACCUUUGACCUUUAGAUCCGGCAAAGCCGAUUAACGGACCAAGUUACCCUAGGGAUAACAGCGCAAUCCCCUUUAAGAGUCCCUAUCGACAAGGGGGUUUACGACCUCGAUGUUGGAUCAAGACAUCCUAAUGGUGCAGCCGCUAUUAAGGGUUCGUUUGUUCAACGAUUAAAGUCUU